rnacentral:rRNA from 1 species
GUGGGGACUUCCGAGCUCACUCCCAACCCAAUGUGAACCAUACCAAACUGUUGCCUCGGCGGGGUCACGCCCCGGGUGCGUCGCAGCCCCGGAACCAGGCGCCCGCCGGAGGGACCAACCAAACUCUUUUCUGUAGUCCCCUCGCGGACGUUAUUUCUUACAGCUCUGAGCAAAAAUUCAAAAUGAAUCAAAACUUUCAACAACGGAUCUCUUGGUUCUGGCAUCGAUGAAGAACGCAGCGAAAUGCGAUAAGUAAUGUGAAUUGCAGAAUUCAGUGAAUCAUCGAAUCUUUGAACGCACAUUGCGCCCGCCAGUAUUCUGGCGGGCAUGCCGGUGCGAGCAUCAUUUCUACCCUCGAACCCCUCCGGUGGGUGGGCGUUGGGGACCUCUGGAGCCCCUAAGACGGGAUCCCAUUGUUACUGGACAUCGGCGGGGUCGCCGCAUUCUCUCCUGCCUUCUAAUUGGCACCAUCCGAUCCGGGAGCAAUACCCGCUCAACUUAAGCAUAUACCUAAGUGGAGAAAUGAUGACCUCGGAUCAGGUAGGAAUACCCGCUGAACUUAAGCAUAUCAAUAAGCGGAGGA